GGGUUGUGAGGUUAAGCGACUAAGCGUACACGGUGGAUGCCCAGGCAGUCAGAGGCGAUGAAGGACGUGCUAAUCUGCGUAAAGCGACGGUAAGGUGAUAUGAACCGCUACAGCCGUCGAUGUCCGAAUGGGGAAACCCGGUGCACUCUGUGCAUCAUUGCAGCAUGAAUACAUAGUGCUGCAAGGCGAACCGGGGGAACUGAAACAUCUAAGUACCCCGAGGAAAAGAAAUCAACCGAGAUUCCCCCAGUAGCGGCGAGCGAACGGGGAGCAGCCCAGAGCCUGAAUCAGUUUGUGUGUUAGUGGAAGCGUCUGGAAAGUCGCAGGGUACAGGGUGAUACUCCCGUACACAAAAACACACAUGCUGUGAGCUCGAUGAGUAAGGCGGGACACGUGGUAUCCUGUCUGAAUAUGGGGGGACCAUCCUCCAAGGCUAAAUACUCCUGACUGACCGAUAGUGAACCAGUACCGUGAGGGAAAGGCGAAAAGAACCCCGGCGAGGGGAGUGAAACAGAACCUGAAACCGUGUACGUACAAGCAGUGGGAGCCUUCUUUAUGGGGGUGACUGCGUACCUUUUGUAUAAUGGGUCAGCGACUUAUAUUCUGUAGCAAGGUUAACCGUAUAGGGGAGCCGCAGGGAAACCGAGUCUUAACUGGGCGUUAAGUUGCAGGGUAUAGACCCGAAACCCGGUGAUCUAGCCAUGGGCAGGUUGAAGGUUGGGUAACACUAACUGGAGGACCGAACCGACUAAUGUUGAAAAAUUAGCGGAUGACCUGUGGCUGGGGGUGAAAGGCCAAUCAAACCGGGAGAUAGCUGGUUCUCCCCGAAAGCUAUUUAGGUAGCGCCUCGUGAACUCAUCUUCGGGGGUAGAGCACUGUUUCGGCUAGGGGGCCAUCCCGGCUUACCAACCCGAUGCAAACUGCGAAUACCGAAGAAUGUUAUCACGGGAGACACACGGCGGGUGCUAACGUCCGUCGUGAAGAGGGAAACAACCCAGACCGCCAGCUAAGGUCCCAAAGUCAUGGUUAAGUGGGAAACGAUGUGGGAAGGCACAGACAGCCAGGAUGUUGGCUUAGAAGCAGCCAUCAUUUAAAGAAAGCGUAAUAGCUCACUGGUCGAGUCGGCCUGCGCGGAAGAUGUAACGGGGCUAAACCAUGCACCGAAGCUGCGGCAGCGACACUAUGUGUUGUUGGGUAGGGGAGCGUUCUGUAAGCCGUCGAAGGUGUGCUGUGAGGCAUGCUGGAGGUAUCAGAAGUGCGAAUGCUGACAUAAGUAACGAUAAAGCGGGUGAAAAGCCCGCUCGCCGGAAGACCAAGGGUUCCUGUUCAACGUUAAUCGGAGCAGGGUGAGUCGACCCCUAAGGCGAGGCCGAAAGGCGUAGUCGAUGGGAAACAGGUUAAUAUUCCUGUACUCGGUGUUACUGCGAAGGGGGGACGGAGAAGGCUAUAUCGGCCGGGCGACGGUUGUCCCGGUUUAAGCGUGUAGGCGGAGGGUCCAGGUAAAUCCGGUCCCUUAUUAACGCUGAGGCGUGACGACGAGGCACUACGGUGCUGAAGUGAUAAAUGCCCAGCUUCCAGGAAAAGCCUCUAAGCAUCAGGUAACACAGAAUCGUACCCCAAACCGACACAGGUGGUCAGGUAGAGAAUACCAAGGCGCUUGAGAGAACUCGGGUGAAGGAACUAGGCAAAAUGGUGCCGUAACUUCGGGAGAAGGCACGCUGGCGCGUAGGUGGAGGGACUUGCUCCCCGAGCCGAAGCCAGUCGAAGAUACCAGCUGGCUGCAACUGUUUAUUAAAAACACAGCACUGUGCAAACACGAAAGUGGACGUAUACGGUGUGACGCCUGCCCGGUGCCGGAAGGUUAAUUGAUGGGGUUAUCCGUAAGGAGAAGCUCUUGAUCGAAGCCCCGGUAAACGGCGGCCGUAACUAUAACGGUCCUAAGGUAGCGAAAUUCCUUGUCGGGUAAGUUCCGACCUGCACGAAUGGCGUAAUGAUGGCCAGGCUGUCUCCACCCGAGACUCAGUGAAAUUGAACUCGCUGUGAAGAUGCAGUGUACCCGCGGCAAGACGGAAAGACCCCGUGAACCUUUACUACAGCUUGACACUGAACAUUGAGCCUUGAUGUGUAGGAUAGGUGGGAGGCUUUGAAGCGCGGACGCCAGUCUGCGUGGAGCCAACCUUGAAAUACCACCCUUUAAUGUUUGAUGUUCUAACGUAGGCCCGUAAUCCGGGCUGCGGACAGUGUCUGGUGGGUAGUUUGACUGGGGCGGUCUCCUCCUAAAGAGUAACGGAGGAGCACGAAGGUCAGCUAAUCACGGUCGGACAUCGUGAGGUUAGUGCAAUGGCAUAAGCUGGCUUGACUGCGAGAGUGACGGCUCGAGCAGGUGCGAAAGCAGGUCAUAGUGAUCCGGUGGUUCUGAAUGGAAGGGCCAUCGCUCAACGGAUAAAAGGUACUCCGGGGAUAACAGGCUGAUACCGCCCAAGAGUUCAUAUCGACGGCGGUGUUUGGCACCUCGAUGUCGGCUCAUCACAUCCUGGGGCUGAAGUAGGUCCCAAGGGUACGGCUGUUCGCCGUUUAAAGUGGUACGCGAGCUGGGUUUAGAACGUCGUGAGACAGUUCGGUCCCUAUCUGCCGUGGGCGCUGGAGAAUUGAGGGGGGUUGCUCCUAGUACGAGAGGACCGGAGUGAACGCACCACUGGUGUUCGGGUUGUCAUGCCAAUGGCAUUGCCCGGUAGCUAAGUGCGGAAAAGAUAAGUGCUGAAAGCAUCUAAGCACGAAACUUGCCCCGAGAUGAGUUCUCCCUGACUCCUUGAGAGUCCUGAAGGGACGUUGAAGACUACGACGUUGAUAGGCCGGGUGUGUAAGCGCAGCGAUGCGUUGAGCUAACCGGUACUAAUGACCCGUGAGGCUUAACCUUACAACGCCAGAGGCGUUU
rnacentral:rRNA from 1 species